AGUGAACGCUGGCGGUAGGCCUAACACAUGCAAGUCGAACGGCAGCACAGGAGGGCUUGCUCUCUGGGUGGCGAGUGGCGGACGGGUGAGGAAUACAUCGGAAUCUGCCCAGUCGUGGGGGAUAACGUAGGGAAACUUACGCUAAUACCGCAUACGACCUUCGGGUGAAAGAGGGGGAUCGCAAGACCUCUCGCGAUUGGAUGAGCCGAUGUCGGAUUAGCUAGUUGGCGGGGUAAUGGCCCACCAAGGCGACGAUCCGUAGCUGGUCUGAGAGGAUGAUCAGCCACACUGGAACUGAGACACGGUCCAGACUCCUACGGGAGGCAGCAGUGGGGAAUAUUGGACAAUGGGCGCAAGCCUGAUCCAGCCAUACCGCGUGGGUGAAGAAGGCCUUCGGGUUGUAAAGCCCUUUUGUUGGGAAAGAAAUCUUUCAGGCUAAUACCCUGGGAGGAUGACGGUACCCAAAGAAUAAGCACCGGCUAACUUCGUG
rnacentral:rRNA from 1 species